rnacentral:rRNA from 1 species
UACGUAGGGGGCAAGCGUUGUCCGGAAUUAUUGGGCGUAAAAGCGCGCGCAGGCGGUUCAUUUAAGUCUGGUGUUUAAUCCUGGGGCUCAACCCCAGUUCGCAUCGGAAACUGGAUGACGUUGAGUGUAGGAGAGGGAAAGUGGAAUUCCACGUGUAGCGGUGAAAAUGCGUAGAGAUGUGGAGGAACACCAGUGGCGAAGGCGACUUUCUGGCCUAUAAACUGACGCUGGAGGC